CCGCUGCAGAGCCCGCGGGCGGCAGGUGGGCGGGGGGCAGCCUCGUCGCCGGGACUGGAUCCGCCGGGAAAGGGGCGGCGGGUGAAUGCCGGCGAGAGCCCGAAGGGGAUCGGGCGUGGAGAGCCCCUUUCUGUCCUGGUGAGUUAUUUUGAUAUUUAGGGUAAAAAAAUCCCUUUCAGGUUCUCCAACGGAGGAGCUUUUUAACCUCUUUCCGGUGAGGUGGGAACUCAUCUUCAUGAUCGAAUUUAAAAGAACAAUGGAACCCUGACUACGUUUCAACAAAAAUAAAACUUGUUUUUUUCCCUCCUAUUGGGUGUUGGCUUUUAACUCUUUCAAAGCCGAUUUUGAAACGGCUGCAGUGAUACAUGCGAAGGUACUUGCUGCUUAUUAAACCUUUAUGACGUUAAGGUUGUCUUUGAAAAAUGCAAGUUGGAGGAGUGCUUCUGGUAUUUCAGAAUUACGAAGACAAGUUUACUGUGUCGUCAAGGCUGUUUAAUGGAAAUAGAUUUGAUAAUUACGGUGCUAGCUAGCUGAUGACGUUUGGUUAAUGUAGUUUAUUUUACCGAGUAAUGACGCCAAGA
rnacentral:lncRNA from 1 species